AUUGAACGCUGGCGGCAUGCCUUACACAUGCAAGUCGAACGGUAACGGGCCUUCGGGUGCCGACGAGUGGCGAACGGGUGAGUAAUACAUCGGAACGUGCCCGAUCGUGGGGGAUAACGAGGCGAAAGCUUUGCUAAUACCGCAUACGAUCUACGGAUGAAAGCAGGGGACCGCAAGGCCUUGCGCGGACGGAGCGGCCGAUGGCAGAUUAGGUAGUUGGUGGGAUAAAAGCUUACCAAGCCGACGAUCUGUAGCUGGUCUGAGAGGAUGAUCAGCCACACUGGGACUGAGACACGGCCCAGAAUCCUACGGGAGGCAGCAGUGGGGAAUUUUGGACAAUGGGCGCAAGACUGAUCCAGCAAUGCCGCGUGCAGGAUGAAGGCCUUCGGGUUGUAAACUGCUUUUGUACGGAACGAAAAGCCUUCUUUUAAUACAGGAGGGUCAUGACGGUACCGUAAGAAUAAGCACCGGCUAACUACGUG
rnacentral:rRNA from 1 species